rnacentral:rRNA from 1 species
UACGUAGGGUGCGAGCGUUGUCCGGAAUUACUGGGCGUAAAGAGCUCGUAGGCGGUUUGUCGCGUCGUCCGUGAAAACUUGGGGCUCAACCCCAAGCUUGCGGGCGAUACGGGCAGACUAGAGUACUGCAGGGGAGACUGGAAUUCCUGGUGUAGCGGUGGAAUGCGCAGAUAUCAGGAGGAACACCGGUGGCGAAGGCGGGUCUCUGGGCAGUAACUGACGCUGAGGAGCGAAAGCGUGGGGAGCAAACAGG